AGCACCACAACGGGUGGAGCUUGCGGUUUAAUUGGAUUCAACGCCGGAAAUCUUACCGGGACCGACAGCAAUAUGAAGGCCAGGCUGAAGACUUUGCCGGAUUAGCUGAGAGGUGGUGCAUGGCCGCCGUCAGUUCGUACUGUGAAGCAUCCUGUUAAGUCAGGCAACGAGCGAGACCCACGCCCACAGUUGCCAGCGUACUCUCCGGAGUGACGGGUACACUGUGGGGACCGCCGCUGCUAAAGCGGAGGAAGGAAUGGGCAACGGUAGGUCAGUAUGCCCCGAAUAUCCCGGGCUACACGCGAGCUACAAUGGUUGGUACAAUGGGUAUCUACCCCGAAAGGGGACGGAAAUCUCCUAAAACCAAUCUUAGUUCGGAUUGAGGGCUGCAACUCGCCCUCAUGAAGCUGGAAUCCGUAGUAAUCGCGUUUCAACAGAACGCGGUGAAUACGUCCCUGCUCCUU
rnacentral:rRNA from 1 species